UUGCUUUAACACCCUCCAUGAAAAGCUGCAGUAGCAAUUCAGUACUAAGGUAUUACUUAUCCAAAAAAUGGUAUGCUUUUGCUUUAACACCCUCCAUGAAAAGCUGCAGUAGCAAUUCAGUACUAAGGUAUUACUUAUCCAAAAAAUGGUAUGCUUUUUCUUAACACCCUCCAUGAAAAGCUGCAGUAGCAAUUCAGUACUAAGGUAUUACUUAUCCAAAAAAGGGUAUGCUUCUUACAACUUCAUAAAUGGAGAUAGUUCUCAUCAUAAUAAAUUCAAAAGAACCUAGGUCUAAUCGUCAAAUUUGUUGAAAUGCUCAAUACAAUUUUCUCAACUUCUCAGUUAACAAUCAAUACAUCAUAAGUAGCCAAGUUUCGCUACCAGAAAGAUCACAUUGAGAUUAAGAUCACAAAAACAUUAACUCAACUAUGAUGCCUUAUCAUCUCAUGACGGUUAUAUGCUAAGACAUCUUAAACAGAUUAAUUGAGAAAAACUUAAGUGAUAAUGCAUAUUAGUUUUUUAGGGACCUUGGUAACCCACUAAUCUAAGUCCAAAAGAACCAGCACAAGUCACCGAUAAGGAAAAUAAGAGAAAGCAAAGGGAAGUAGAAGAUCUUGGCAUUAUUCCUACUUCAAACAAUGGCACGCAUAUCUCCAGCACAUUCAAUGAAACGAAACUAGAACAGAGAGCCCAGGACUAUUGCUCACAAUGCUUAGCUCCUGUGUUACAAUCUGCUGAUCAAAAUCAUGGUAACCACAAUUUCCAGGUGAAUCCCAGUAAUGCCCCUUUCUUUAGGAACUCUACAUUAUUCAACUUCGCAGGUUGCCAAAUUCCUUUGGCCCAGAACCUAUCUCCAUCGUCAGCAAGUAAUACAAAUCCAGGAAACCACCAUUGUUUCCAUAGCCGUUGGAGCUUAUUUGCCAGGGUUUAAAGCCUCAUGUAUUGGUUAUUGCUUUCCUAAUUUGGUUUAAAUUAACAGCAGGUCAAUGCAGUACCAGGUCCCUACAGUCUUUUUUAUUGAGAGGAAGUCCCU
rnacentral:lncRNA from 1 species